AAAUUGAAGAGUUUGAUCAUGGCUCAGAUUGAACGCUGGCGGCAGGCCUAACACAUGCAAGUCGAGCGGUAGCACAGAGAGCUUGCUCUCGGGUGACGAGCGGCGGACGGGUGAGUAAUGUCUGGGAAACUGCCUGAUGGAGGGGGAUAACUACUGGAAACGGUAGCUAAUACCGCAUAAUGUCGCAAGACCAAAGUGGGGGACCUUCGGGCCUCAUGCCAUCAGAUGUGCCCAGAUGGGAUUAGCUAGUAGGUGGGGUAACGGCUCACCUAGGCGACGAUCCCUAGCUGGUCUGAGAGGAUGACCAGCCACACUGGAACUGAGACACGGUCCAGACUCCUACGGGAGGCAGCAGUGGGGAAUAUUGCACAAUGGGCGCAAGCCUGAUGCAGCCAUGCCGCGUGUGUGAAGAAGGCCUUCGGGUUGUAAAGCACUUUCAGCGGGGAGGAAGGCGGUGAGGUUAAUAACCUCAUCGAUUGACGUUACCCGCAGAAGAAGCACCGGCUAACUCCGUGCCAGCAGCCGCGGUAAUACGGAGGGUGCAAGCGUUAAUCGGAAUUACUGGGCGUAAAGCGCACGCAGGCGGUCUGUCAAGUCGGAUGUGAAAUCCCCGGGCUUAACCUGGGAACUGCAUUCGAAACUGGCAGGCUAGAGUCUUGUAGAGGGGGGUAGAAUUCCAGGUGUAGCGGUGAAAUGCGUAGAGAUCUGGAGGAAUACCGGUGGCGAAGGCGGCCCCCUGGACAAAGACUGACGCUCAGGUGCGAAAGCGUGGGGAGCAAACAGGAUUAGAUACCCUGGUAGUCCACGCCGUAAACGAUGUCGAUUUGGAGGUUGUGCCCUUGAGGCGUGGCUUCCGGAGCUAACGCGUUAAAUCGACCGCCUGGGGAGUACGGCCGCAAGGUUAAAACUCAAAUGAAUUGACGGGGGCCCGCACAAGCGGUGGAGCAUGUGGUUUAAUUCGAUGCAACGCGAAGAACCUUACCUGGUCUUGACAUCCACAGAACUUUCCAGAGAUGGAUUGGUGCCUUCGGGAACUGUGAGACAGGUGCUGCAUGGCUGUCGUCAGCUCGUGUUGUGAAAUGUUGGGUUAAGUCCCGCAACGAGCGCAACCCUUAUCCUUUGUUGCCAGCGGUUAGGCCGGGAACUCAAAGGAGACUGCCAGUGAUAAACUGGAGGAAGGUGGGGAUGACGUCAAGUCAUCAUGGCCCUUACGACCAGGGCUACACACGUGCUACAAUGGCAUAUACAAAGAGAAGCGACCUCGCGAGAGCAAGCGGACCUCAUAAAGUAUGUCGUAGUCCGGAUUGGAGUCUGCAACUCGACUCCAUGAAGUCGGAAUCGCUAGUAAUCGUAGAUCAGAAUGCUACGGUGAAUACGUUCCCGGGCCUUGUACACACCGCCCGUCACACCAUGGGAGUGGGUUGCAAAAGAAGUAGGUAGCUUAACCUUCGGGAGGGCGCUUACCACUUUGUGAUUCAUGACUGGGGUGAAGUCGUAACAAGGUAACCGUAGGGGAACCUGCGGUUGGAUCACCUCCUUA
rnacentral:rRNA from 1 species